UAGGGAAUCUUCCACAAUGGACGCAAGUCUGAUGGAGCAACGCCGCGUGAGUGAAGAAGGUCUUCGGAUCGUAAAGCUCUGUUGUUGGUGAAGAAGGAUAGAGGCAGUAACUGGUCUUUAUUUGACGGUAAUCAACAGAAAGUCACGGCUAACUACGUGCCAGCAGCCGCGGUAAUACGUAGGUGGCAAGCGUUGUCCGGAUUUAUUGGGCGUAAAGCGAGCGCAGGCGGAAUGAUAAGUCUGAUGUGAAAGCCCACGCUCAACCGUGGAACUGCAU
rnacentral:rRNA from 1 species